UACGAAGGGGGCUAGCGUUGUUCGGAAUUACUGGGCGUAAAGCGCGCGCAGGCGGUCUUCCAAGUCAGUGGUGAAGCCGGAGCUCAACUCCGGAACUGCCAUUGAAACUGUGAGACUUGAGUACGAGAGAGGUGAGUGGAAUUCCCAGUGUAGAGGUGAAAUUCGUAGAUAUUGGGAAGAACACCGGUGGCGAAGGCGGCUCACUGGCUCGUAACUGACGCUCAGGCGCGACAGCGUGGGGAUCAAACAGG
rnacentral:rRNA from 1 species